CUGGCUUGUGAAAUUUCAGAGGGAAAAUUAAAGACUCUUCUCAGGGCCAUUGCUAUUUUGAUUGUGAAGAUUCUGUAGUUCUGGUUAGCUGGGGCUGAAGAAUCAGCUGUGAUUAACAAGAUACCAGAACUACUAAAGCAAAAACUUUGCAUUACUGGGACUAUUGAUGCUGGUUAGCUGGAGCUAAGAAAUUAGCGGUGAUUAAGAAGAGACCAGCAUCAUUGAGGUGACAUCUUCUGGGAAGUGUUUUCUGAGAGCACAGUGGCUGUGUUCCAGAGAUAGCCAAAGUUGUACCUUGUGCUGUGGCUGGACUUGGUAAUGUGUAAGGGUCACCCAGGUGGUACUGGUUUUGAAGGCAUGAAGGAGUUGAGCAGAGCAGCUGAGGCUUGGCACUGUGAGAGGCCAUGGAAGGCCAUUGGUGAAAGUGCAGCCUCAGUUGCAAUUGAUGGCCCAGGACUGAAGGGGUCAUGCAGUGUUUUGGAGAUGCCAGUACCAUGAGAUGACCACCAAGAGCAGCAGCAGCAGUGGAAUACAGGCAUCUUUCUGACCUGCUUGAGUUCCAGUCCUGACUUCCUUUGGUGAUGAACAGCAGUAUGGAAGUGCAUAGACAGCAUCUACCCGCCGUAUCAGCCACCAGCUUCAAGAUUCCGAGGGCCCUUGGAAGUCCUGCUGCAAAGAAAUGGCUCGCUAGAGCAUCAGAGCACGCAGCCGUGAAGUUAUCUUCUUGACUUAAAUAAUUUCAUGUGUACACACACGGCAGCAAGAACCACACGCACAGCACACCUCAGCACACCGCAAGCAACAUUAAAGAGACAGCGCCAUCUUCACUCUCCAGAGAUUGAAAAAAAAUACAUACACGCAAGAUGUGCAUUAGCCCACAUAAAAAUACCUGGAUUUGUUUUUUUAAGAGCUAAAAUAAAAUGCAUUAAAAUUG